AACGAACGUUGGCGGCGUGGAUGAGGCAUGCAAGUCGAACGUGAAAGCCCUCGGGUGAGUAGCGUGGCGGACGGGCGAGUAACACGUAAUCAAGCUACCUCCGAGACGGGGAUAACUUCGGGAAACCGAAGCUAAGACCCGAUGGUCCUACGAGAUCGCAUGUUCUUGUAAGUAAAUGGGCGGGAUCCUUCGGGAUCGCCUGCUCGGAGAGGUGAUUGCGGCCCAUCAGUUUGUUGGCGGGGUAAUGGCCCACCAAGACUACGACGGGUAGCCGGCCUAAGAGGGUGGUCGGUCGCACUGGGACUGAGACACUGCCCAGACUCCUACGGGAGGCUGCAGUCGAGAAUCUUCCGCAAUGGACGAAAGUCUGACGGAGCGACGCCGCGUGGAGGACGAAGGCCCUCGGGUUGUAAACUCCUGUCACGAGUUAAGAAGUCUGUAGGGCGAACAGUCUUGCAGAUCGACGUAAGCUCGAGAGGAAGCACUGGCUAACUCUGUGCCAGCAGCCGCGGUAAUACAGAGAGUGCGAACGUUGUUCGGAAUUACUGGGCUUAAAGCGCGCGUAGGCGGCGUACCAAGUGUCGGGUGAAAUCCCACGGCUCACCCGUGGAACUGCCCGGCAAACUG
rnacentral:rRNA from 1 species